rnacentral:lncRNA from 1 species
GGAGGAACAGCUGGCAGUGGCCUCACUGCAGAUUCUCAUCUAAGCAGAGUUGAUCAGCAGAAUCCAAGGCGGAAGGAGAGGUUAAUAUACACAACCACAAAGCCACAGGCAACCAUCAUACUCCAAACUCAAAAUGGAGCCAGAGCCUAAGUGAUAAUCCCCAUGGACCAAACCAGCCCUACUGUAAACACAAAAGUAUCACCUCUCAUCAAAGCCAAGGACAAACACAUCCCACAACAUUCUGAACAAUCAUCUUAAUCUGUAAUUUCAUUCAUCUGACGAAGAUUCUAUCCAAACUCAUCAUUUUACGAAGAAAAGUACCACAUAAAAUCCCAAGAAGUGAGUUUACUCUCUCUUCACAGUUAAGAAGCAUCUUCCCCACACAGUCGCCACAAA